rnacentral:pre_miRNA from 7 species
UGGCCGAGCAUGGAGCGCCUCACUGUCCUGUAUGGCUUUUUAUUCCUAUGUGAUUAUACAUCCCGCUUCAUAUAGGGAUUGAAGCCGUGCAAGGCGCUGGGUCCGACGGCGGGGAGCAGCC